CUCAAACCUCAAAAUAAUCUCUCAUCAGAAAGAGUGCAGGUGUUUCUCCGGCUUCUCCCCUUGAUCAUAAUUGCAAGCUGGCAGCGUGAGACAGAGAGAAGGAGAAAGAAACACAAACGCAUUUAGUGAAGCUGGGAGCUCUCUUCAGUCCCACACAUGAAGAGAAGACUGAAAACUUCUUUAGUGGAAUGCAUAGAACGAGCCUUAAAUGCCUGCUGAAGACGGGUUCAUCCUGCAGAACGUGGAAUUGCUCAGGGCUUGAAGGCCUUGAAGACAGGAGAAGGGUGCAGACAGGAAAACGGUGGGAAUUGGUGAAAGUCUGUGUGAAAACUGCAGGGCCCCAGGCCUCCACCCGCACCGGGGGAGCCACACACCCGCCCUUUUGCCGUGGGCUCUUUUCCGAAAGGCCGGAGUUGUUUCCCAAGCCUGGCUUGGCCUCGAGACUCGCUUUAACCGAUAGAAUGUUGUAGAAAUGACGUGGCACCAACUCUGAGCCCAGGACACGAGGCCUCCUCUGGCCUCCACUCACUCUCUGGGAACCCCACUGGCCUCCAUGUGAACCAGCCCCUGGAUGAGGGGGACAGAGGGCCCUUCCUGCCCCGUCACAGAACAAAGCAUCCAGCCACCUGCAGCUGACCACAGGUCAUGAAUGAGCUGGACAAGCCGCCCAGAAGAGCCUGUCCUUCAUCGCUGACCCACAGGAUCUUAAGCUAAAUAAAUGGUUGUGUUUCUUUAAAACCACUAUGUUUUGGGGUGGGGUUUUUUUUCAUGCAAAAAAGUUGACAGAUUCACCUUCGUGGGAAACUAGAAGUUUAUUCUCUGGAGAAAUUGAACCAGAAAGCCUCUUGACUCAGGGUCGCCAGGUAAGGCAGUGGGUAGGGGCGAGGUUUGGACCUGAGAACGCGGAGACUGAUGAGGGGCGCAUGCCUCUACCUGGUUCUUGCCCAUGGCCCGGAUCCAGGGCCCCAGCGUCAGGGCAUUGUCUCCCAGGAAGGAGACCAGAGCAGCCUCUCUGCAGGAGCCCAGGGAGCCCAGAGGACCCUAAACAGAGACAUGAUGUGGGAGGACCGCGUCAACCUGCGCCCAGUGGGCUACUGUGUCACCAGACCCGAGG
rnacentral:lncRNA from 1 species